AUUGAACGCUGGCGGCAUGCCUUACACAUGCAAGUCGAACGGUAACAGGUCUUCGGAUGCUGACGAGUGGCGAACGGGUGAGUAAUACAUCGGAACGUGCCCGAUCGUGGGGGAUAACGAGGCGAAAGCUUUGCUAAUACCGCAUACGAUCUACGGAUGAAAGCGGGGGAUCUUCGGACCUCGCGCGGACGGAGCGGCCGAUGGCAGAUUAGGUAGUUGGUGGGAUAAAAGCUUACCAAGCCGACGAUCUGUAGCUGGUCUGAGAGGAUGAUCAGCCACACUGGGACUGAGACACGGCCCAGACUCCUACGGGAGGCAGCAGUGGGGAAUUUUGGACAAUGGGCGAAAGCCUGAUCCAGCCAUGCCGCGUGCAGGAUGAAGGCCUUCGGNUUGUAAACUGCUUUUGUACGGAACGAAAAGCCUCUUUCUAAUAAAGAGGGGUCAUGACGGUACCGGAAGAAUAA
rnacentral:rRNA from 1 species